rnacentral:rRNA from 1 species
GAUGAACGCUGGCGGCGUGCCUAAUACAUGCAAGUCGAGCGAACAGACGAGGAGCUUGCUCCUCUGACGUUAGCGGCGGACGGGUGAGUAACACGUGGAUAACCUACCUAUAAGACUGGGAUAACUUCGGGAAACCGGAGCUAAUACCGGAUAAUAUAUUGAACCGCAUGGUUCAAUAGUGAAAGACGGUUUUGCUGUCACUUAUAGAUGGAUCCGCGCCGCAUUAGCUAGUUGGUAAGGUAACGGCUUACCAAGGCAACGAUGCGUAGCCGACCUGAGAGGGUGAUCAGCCACACUGGAACUGAGACACGGUCCAGACUCCUACGGGAGGCAGCAGUAGGGAAUCUUCCGCAAUGGGCGAAAGCCUGACGGAGCAACGCCGCGUGAGUGAUGAAGGUCUUCGGAUCGUAAAACUCUGUUAUUAGGGAAGAACAAAUGUGUAAGUAACUAUGCACUUCUUGACGGUACCUAAUCAGAAAGCCACGGCUAACUACGUG